rnacentral:rRNA from 1 species
GACGAACGCUGGCGGCGUGCCUAAUACAUGCAAGUAGAACGCUGAAGAGAGGAGCUUGCUCUUCUUGGAUGAGUUGCGAACGGGUGAGUAACGCGUAGGUAACCUGCCUUGUAGCGGGGGAUAACUAUUGGAAACGAUAGCUAAUACCGCAUAACAAUGGAUGACACAUGUCAUUUAUUUGAAAGGGGCAAUUGCUCCACUACAAGAUGGACCUGCGUUGUAUUAGCUAGUAGGUGAGGUAAUGGCUCACCUAGGCGACGAUACAUAGCCGACCUGAGAGGGUGGUCGGCCACACUGGGACUGAGACACGGCCCAGACUCCUACGGGAGGCAGCAGUAGGGAAUCUUCGGCAAUGGGGGCAACCCUGACCGAGCAACGCCGCGGGAGUGAAGAAGGUUGUCGGAUCGUAAAGCUCUGUUGUAAGUCAAGAACGGGUGUGAGAGUGGAAAGUUCACACUGUGACGGUAGCUUACCAGAAAGGGACGGCUAACUACGUG